UACCUAAAGUCGGUAACCGCAAGGAGCCGCCUAGGGUAAAACUAGUAACUGGGGCUAAGUCGUAACAAGGUAGCCGUAUCGGAAGGUGCGGCUGGAAUACCUCCUUUUUAGAGCUUA
rnacentral:rRNA from 2 species